rnacentral:rRNA from 1 species
UACGUAGGGGGCAAGCGUUGUCCGGAAUCAUUGGGCGUAAAGCGCGUGUAGGCGGCUCGGUAAGUCCGCUCUGAAAGUCCAGGGCUCAACCCUGGGAUGCGGGUGGAUACUGCCGGGCUCGAGUCCGGAAGAGGCGAGUGGAAUUCCCGGUGUAGCGGUGAAAUGCGCAGAUAUCGGGAGGAACACCAAUGGCGAAGGCAGCUCGCUGGGACGUGACUGACGCUGAGACGCGAAGCGUGGG